rfam:Stomoxys calcitrans breed 8C7A2A5H3J4 unplaced genomic scaffold Scaffold2138, whole genome shotgun sequence.
UCUGGGAGAGUAUUACAUUAGGUACUGGUGUGCUAUUGUUCAAAGUUUGUUUGUACAGCAAAAUCUAAACUGACCAGUACUUAUGUCAUACUUACAGU